rnacentral:lncRNA from 1 species
UCUUAUUGCACAGGUCCACACAUUUUUGGAAGUUCACCAUUAUCCAAUUUUAACCCCCACUCACCAAUGUUCUUAUCUCAUUACCAUUUUUUAAUGCUAAAAAAUAGUUGCUCCCCUAAUAAAUAAGGGACGCGUGUCCCAAUAGAUGUAUGCAAAAAAAAAGGUUUCUCCUAUACCCACAACCAAAUGUGCCAUUCCCUUAAGACUCUCUCUCACGUCUUGUAGAGGAGAUAUAAUUGAGAAAUGAAAAAAAAAGAUUCCUCUCACUUAGAGGAGACAAAUUUCUCUCAGGAUUUUCCUCUGUAAUUCUUCUUCUUCUCACCAAGAAAUUCAUCUCCAUACCUAAAACUCCAUGAAUCUACCACACAUCCAAAAAACCACUUGUUGCAAACAUCUCAAACCCCACCUUAACACAAUAACCACAUCCAUCUCCCUUGCCUCUACCGUCAACCCACUGCCGUGCAACUCUCCCCAAUCUUCUUUCUCCUCCGCCUAACCUCCACCUCACAAAACACCAUCUUCUUCCACGAUCUAUCCCCCAUUUAACUGCCAAACUGUGAAAUCCAAACUUUAACUCACCUUCAAUACCCACCGAAAAUCACCUUUAAUUUCGGAGAAACACAAAUUCCUGUAACCACCGUCUACUUCAUUAGUGUCAUGUUUGCCUUAAUUUUGCGUUGCAUGUUAUUGUGUCCAAUAUUCUGAGUUUUGGUUAGCAUUAUAAUGUUACUUUUCAUUUUGAGUUGUGCUGCUAUUGUAAUUAAGAUGUUGUUGUUCUAUCUUAGUUUUGUGAUAAUUGAAUUUAAUCUGGGGUUUCGACAUUAAUGAUAUGCCACCAAUUUCUCUUUUGAUAUAUUAAACGUAACAUUGCAGCGAAUCUUUUAAGCUACUUUCAUUUUAUUGGUGUAGUAUUCUGUUUUGGGUUAUCUUCAUUGUAAAUAUAACUUUGUGUUGUUAUUGGAUUUUGAUUAAUUUCAUUGAGAUAAGUUGAAUUUUGAUCAGUGGAUUCGGUAAUUACAUGUCGUUAUGCCGCCAGAAUUUUGUUUCAAUAUAUUGAUUUGAUUUCGCCGCGUUA